AGAAGGCUAAGCGUCUGCACACGCUAGGUCCGCAGGGCGCUGACCCCUGGGGGCCCGAGGAGCGCCGGGCUGCUGCCCCGAGCCCCGCCCACUACAGCCUCAGUGCAUGGCGGUGGGCGCUUCCAGUAACUCAGGGGUGGGACUUUUUUCUUGCUCAGGGGAUGAGGCCGAGCCCACAGGCUUAGAAAGAAGGAACUUGAGUCCGGGCACCUGUCAUCCCAGCGCUUAGGGAGGCCGAGGCGGGUGGAUCACCUGAGGUCAGGAGUUCGAGACCAGCCUGGCCAAUAUGGCGAAACCCCCGUCUCUACUAAAAAUACAAAAAUUAGCCGAGCAUGGUGGCAUGCACUUCCAGCUACUUGGAAGGCUGAGGCGGGAGAAUGGCUUGAACCUGGGAGGCGAGGGUUGCAGUGAGCUGAGAUCGCACCACUGCACUCCAGCCUGGGUGACAGAGCGAGACUUCGUCUCAAAAAAAAAGAAGAAGAAAGAAGGAAGCUGAGGUUCAGACAGGCUAAGUCCCUACUGCAGGCUGCGGAAUCUAAAAAGGGUCAUGAACUCUGAGAGUUUGAGAUGAGCCUCUAAAAGCUGUAUCAAUAGCACCUUGCACUGUUGAAGCAGGUAAGUGUUUUCCUUGUUACUUCUUAAGUUCAGUUGGAAACCCAACAUAGCAAAUCCUCUAGAAUGCAGCUGAAGCAGUACUAAGGCUGGGUGUGGUGGCUCAUGCCUAUAAUCCUGUAGGGAGGCAAAAGCGGGAGGAUUGCUGGAGCCCAGGAGUUCAAGACCAGCCUGGGCAACACGGCAAGACCUGGUUCUCCACAAAAAGGAAAAAAAAAUGCUAAGAGGCAAGUAUAUAGCAAUAAACUCCUACAUCAAAAAAGUAGAAACAUUUCAAAUAAGAGAUUGGGGGCAGUGGCUCAUGCCUGUAAUCCUAGCACUUUUGGAGGCCGAGGUGGGUAGAUUGCUUGAGACCAGGAGUUCGAGACCAGCAUGGGCAACAUAGCGAGACCCUGUCUCUACAAAAAAUCAGAAAAUUAGCCAGGCGUGGUGGUGCAAGCCUGUAGCCCCAGCUACUCGGGAGGCUAGGGUGGGAGGAUUGAUUGAGCCUUUGAGGUAGAGGUUGCAGUGAGCUGAGAUUGUGCCAUUGCAUUCCAGCCUGGGUGACAGAGCUAGACCCUGUCUCAAAAAAAGAAAGAGAGAAAGAAAGAGAAAUAAAUAAAGAGAGAAAGAAAGAAAAGAAAGAAAACAAACAAGGAAGGAAGAAAGAAAAAGAAAGAGAAAGAAAGAAAGAAAAAGAAAAAGAAAGAAAGAAAGACUUCAAUAACCUAAGGAUGCACCUCAAGAAUCUAGGAAAGCGAGAACAAACCAAACCCAAAAAUUAGUAGAAGAAAGUAAAUAAAGCGCAGAGCAGAAACAAAUAAGAUUGAGACCAAAAAAAUACAUAAAAGAUCAAUGAAAAAAAAAUUGCUUUUACAUCAUGGUCUUGACCUUGCAGGGAUGGCCCCUCCCAGUUUUAGCCAAUUUCUCGAGUGAUAAAUAACUUGCUUGAGAGCAUGCCUUUUAUAUAUAAACCACCAAUCCAGAGCCCACAUCCCACCCACUCUCUAACAGGGCGCUAUACUCACCCCAGGGCCAGGUAUCACACCACUAAGAACAGCCCUUUUCCCCAGAUCCCACUGAGGUUAUCCAAAGUGACCAGCCCUAACCUAUGAAAUCUGCCUCACUUCUUCCUUUCCACAGAAACUAUAGCAAAGUCUUGUCCACACCCACAUUUCACUCACCUCCUUCUGACUCCUGGCAGAUCCUGGCGCUUUCCCCAUGGGGCUGCCUGAGCUGAGACGGGCUCUCUUCUCCUGGAAACUGAGUAACACAAUUUAUUUCAAUGACAGUCACUUCCUCAUCUGUUGGCCUCAGCGUACCUCCAAUUUUCCAUUACACAAUAAAUGGAAAAUAAUAUAGGCCGGGUGUGGUGGCUCACGCCUGUAAUCCCAGCACUUUGGGAGGCCGAGGUGGGUGGAUCACCUGAGGUCAGGAGUUUGAGACCAGCCUGACCAGCAUGGCGAAACCCCAUCUCUACUAAAAAUAGAAAAAUUAGCUGAGCUUCGUGGCUGGAGCCUGUAGUCCCAGAUACUUGGGAGGCUGAGCCAGGAGAAUUGCUUGAACUCAGAAGGCAGAGGUUGCAGUGAGCCGAGAUCAUGCCGCUGCACUCUAGCCUGGGAGACAGAGCGAGACUCCAUCUCAGAAAAAAAAAAAAAAAAGAAAAUUGAAUUGGGCCAGCCCCUCCACACCUGUGGGUAUUUCUCAUCAGGUGGGACGAGAGACUGAGAAAAGAAAUGACACAGAGACGAAGUAUAGAGAAAGAACAGUGGGCCCAGGGGACCAGCGCUCAGCAUACAGAGGACCCGCACUGGCGCCAGCCCCUGAGUUCCCUCAGUAUUUAUUGAUCAUUAUUUUUACUAUCUUAACAAGGGGAGCGUAGAAGGACAACAGGUGGGGAGAAGGUCAGCAGGGAAACGUGCGCAAAGGAAUCUGUAUCAUGAAUAAGUUCAAGGAAAGGUACCGUGGCUGGAUGUGCACGUAGACUAGAUUUAUGUUUCUCUUUACCCAAACAUCUCAGUGUAGCAAAGAGUCACAGAGCAGUAUUGCUGCCAGCAUAUCUCACCUCCAGCCACAGGGCGGUUUUCUCCUAUCUCAGAAUAGAACGAAUGGGAAUGAUCGGCUUUACACCCAGAUAUUCCAUUCCCAGGGACGAGCAGGAGACAGAAGCCUUCCUCUUAUCUCAACUGCAAAGAGGCCUCCCUCUUUCACUCCUCCUCCUCAGCACAGACCCUUUAAGGGUGUCCCGCUGGGGGAUAUAAGGUCUUUCCUUUCCCAUGAGGCCAUAUCUCAGGCUAUCUCAGUGAGGGGAAACCUUGGACAAUACCCAGGCUUUCUUGGGCAGAGGUCCGUGUGGCUUUCCGCAGUGCAUUGUGUCCCUGGUUAAUCGAGACUGGAGAAUGGCGAUGACUUUUACCAAGCAUACUGCCUGCAAACAUAUUGUUAACAAGGCACAUGCUGUACAGCCCUA
rnacentral:lncRNA from 1 species